rnacentral:rRNA from 1 species
UUGGUAAGGUAACGGCUUACCAAGGCAACGAUCAGUAGCCGACCUGAGAGGGUGAUCGGCCACAUUGGAACUGAGACACGGUCCAAACUCCUACGGGAGGCAGCAGUGGGGGAUAUUGCACAAUGGGCGAAAGCCUGAUGCAGCAACGCCGCGUGAACGAAGAAGGCCCUUGGGUCGUAAAGUUCUGUCCAAGAGGAAGAAAAAAAUGACGGUACUCUUGGAGGAAGCCCCGGCUAACUACGUGCCAGCAGCCGCGGUAACACGUAGGGGGCGAGCGUUAUCCGGAAUUAUUGGGCGUAAAGGGUGCGUAGGCGGCCUUUUAAGCGUGGGGUGAAAUGCAUAGGCUUAACCUAUGUAAGCCUCGCGAACUGAAGGGCUUGAGUGCAGGAGAGGAAAGCGGAAUUCCUAGUGUAGCGGUGAAAUGCGUAGAUAUUAGGAGGAACACCAGUGGCGAAGGCGGCUUUCUGGACUGUAACUGACGCUGAUGCACGAAAGCGUGGGUAGCGAACAGGAUUAGAUACCCUGGUAGUCCACGCCGUAAACGAUGAGCACUAGGUGUCGGGGUCGCAAGGCUUCGGU